rnacentral:rRNA from 1 species
UACGGAGGGGGUUAGCGUUGUUCGGAAUUACUGGGCGUAAAGCGCACGUAGGCGGACCAGCAAGUUGGGGGUGAAAUCCCGGGGCUCAACCCCGGAACUGCCUCCAAAACUGUUGGUCUUGAGUUCGAGAGAGGUGAGUGGAAUUCCGAGUGUAGAGGUGAAAUUCGUAGAUAUUAGGAGGAAUACCGGCGGCGAAGGCGGCCCGCUGGGGCUUAUCUGACGCUAAGGCGCGAAAGCGUGGGGAGCAAACGGG